rnacentral:siRNA from 1 species
UACCAAUAUCUCAUGGAGCUGAGU